UAUGUGGGACGGUAAACCGC
rnacentral:ncRNA from 2 species